CAUUUUGCCUGGAAUAGAAGGCCAAGAGGUGUUUGUGGUUUUUCAGUGUAGGAAGUGUCAUGCUAGAGAAGAAGUUUGACCAGUCUGUCCCUACUGGAGAUAGAGCAAGAACAAAGAAGUUUUAUGUUCUUUAUUAAAAAGAACUUGCUGCUCGUGAGGUGGUGGAUUCCCAAAGAGACUGUGGUCCUUCUUCACUAGAAGUCAGAGACUUCCGUGAUGACUGCUAAGUAUUUUUGUCUUGAGUUUCAAACGCAGCUGGCAUUUUCUGCUUCUUAGAGAGGCCAGAGAAGCAUUCUUACAAAGUGAAAAGAAGAGAUUGGACCUGGAAAAGAAACUUUAUGAACAUAAUCAAUCUGACAUAUGCAGGUAGUGAUCUCAGCUGGUCUUGAACCGCAAACUGGCUCCUGGCUGCAGCUCCAGCCUCAGUUCAGAUCUUCUGUUGUUAGCGAGUGGCUUGCGCAUGCGUGGUUCAGUCCAUCAGAAAGGUUAAGGAGAUGUAACCACCAGCCAUCCUGAAACUGACCAAAUGAGGCACUCAAGGGAGAUGUAACCACCAGCCAUCCUGAAACUGACCAAAUGAGGCACUCAAGGGAGAUGUAACCACCAGCCAUCCUGAAACUGACCAAAUGAGGCACUCAAGGGAGAUGUAACCACCAGCCAUCCUGAAACUGACCAAGCCUCACCACAAGAGCUAUGCCCAUGACCUUUGCUUUAUUUUUAAUGCAAAGAUCUCUCCAGGAGGAGCUUAGGCCUCAUUAUGUGGAAGCAUGUUCUCCAGCUGAGCCUGUGCAGGUGAAUACCCCCACCUCUCCCUUUUGAAUAUUAUUCCCCAACUGAAAUAAAAGUUCCUGCUUCCCUUAGUUCUGGGACGCCAUGACUUUGGAAAUGAUUCCUCACGGCCUCCUAUUUGCUGCAAAUACAGUUUACUUUGUGAGACAAC